rnacentral:rRNA from 1 species
AUUGAACGCUGGCGGCAGGCCUAACACAUGCAAGUCGAGCGGAUGAAGGGAGCUUGCUCCUGGAUUCAGCGGCGGACGGGUGAGUAAUGCCUAGGAAUCUGCCUGGUAGUGGGGGAUAACGUCCGGAAACGGGCGCUAAUACCGCAUACGUCCUGAGGGAGAAAGUGGGGGAUCUUCGGACCUCACGCUAUCAGAUGAGCCUAGGUCGGAUUAGCUAGUUGGUGGGGUAAAGGCCUACCAAGGCGACGAUCCGUAACUGGUCUGAGAGGAUGAUCAGUCACACUGGAACUGAGACACGGUCCAGACUCCUACGGGAGGCAGCAGUGGGGAAUAUUGGACAGUGGGCGAAAGCCUGAUCCAGCCAUGCCGCGUGUGUGAAGGAGGUCUUCGGAGUGUAAAGCACUUUAAGUUGGGAGGAAGGGCAGUAAGUUAAUACCUUGCUGUUUUGACGUUACCAACAGAAUAAGCACCGGCUAACUUCGUG